GACGAACGCUGGCGGCGUGCUUAACACAUGCAAGUCGAGCGGUAAGGCCCUUUCGGGGGUACACGAGCGGCGAACGGGUGAGUAACACGUGGGUGACCUGCCCUCAGCUCUGGGAUAAGCCCGGGAAACUGGGUCUAAUACCGGAUAUGACUUCAUGACGCAUGUUGUGGAGUGGAAAGCCUUGUGCGGCUGAGGAUGGGCCCGCGGCCUAUCAGCUUGUUGGGGGGGUGA
rnacentral:rRNA from 1 species